rnacentral:rRNA from 1 species
UUGGAGGGCAAGUCUGGUGCCAGCAGCUGCGGUAAUUCCAGCUCCAAUAGCGUAUAUUAAAGUUGUUGCAGUUAAAAAGCUCGUAGUUGAAUUUCGGGAUCAGUACGCUGGUCAUGCCUUUGGUAUGCACUGGUGUCACUGGUUUCUCCCUUCUGAAGAUCCGUGAUGUCAUUAAUUUGGUGUCGCGGGGAAUCAGGACUGUUACUUUGGAAAAAUUAGAGUGUUUAAAGCAGGCUCACGCUUGAAUACAUUAGCAUGGAAUAAUGAAAUAGGACGUUUGACCCUAUUUUGUUGGUUUCUAGGAUCGACGUAAUGAUUAAUAGGGAUAGUUGGGGGCAUUAGUAUUCAAUUGUCAGAGGUGAAAUUCUUGGAUUUAUUGAAGACUAACUACUGCGAAAGCAUUUGCCAAGGAUGUUUUCAUUAAUCAAGAACGAAAGCUAGGGGAUCGAAGACGAUCAGAUACCGUCGUAGUCUUAACCAUAAACUAUGCCGACUAGGGAUCGGAUGAUGUUAAUUUAUAAUGACUCAUUCGGCGCCUUACGGGAAACCAAAGUGUUUGGGUUC